rnacentral:piRNA from 1 species
AAGAAUUGCUGCAUGGUUGCUGC